UCCUGACUGACCGAUAGUGAACCAGUACCGUGAGGGAAAGGCGAAAAGAACCCCGGCGAGGGGAGUGAAAAAGAACCUGAAACCGUGUACGUACAAGCAGUGGGAGCACGCUUAGGCGUGUGACUGCGUACCUUUUGUAUAAUGGGUCAGCGACUUAUAUUCUGUAGCAAGGUUAACCGAAUAGGGGAGCCGAAGGGAAACCGAGUCUUAACUGGGCGUUAAGUUGCAGGGUAUAGACCCGAAACCCGGUGAUCUAGCCAUGGGCAGGUUGAAGGUUGGGUAACACUAACUGGAGGACCGAACCGACUAAUGUUGAAAAAUUAGCGGAUGACUUGUGGCUGGGGGUGAAAGGCCAAUCAAACCGGGAGAUAGCUGGUUCUCCCCGAAAGCUAUUUAGGUAGCGCCUCGUGAAUUCAUCUCCGGGGGUAGAGCACUGUUUCGGCAAGGGGGUCAUCCCGACUUACCAACCCGAUGCAAACUGCGAAUACCGGAGAAUGUUAUCACGGGAGACACACGGCGGGUGCUAACGUCCGUCGUGAAGAGGGAAACAACCCAGACCGCCAGCUAAGGUCCCAAAGUCAUGGUUAAGUGGGAAACGAUGUGGGAAGGCCCAGACAGCCAGGAUGUUGGCUUAGAAGCAGCCAUCAUUUAAAGAAAGCGUAAUAGCUCACUGGUCGAGUCGGCCUGCGCGGAAGAUGUAACGGGGCUAAACCAUGCACCGAAGCUGCGGCAGCGACGCUUAUGCGUUGUUGGGUAGGGGAGCGUUCUGUAAGCCUGCGAAGGUGUGCUGUGAGGCAUGCUGGAGGUAUCAGAAGUGCGAAUGCUGACAUAAGUAACGAUAAAGCGGGUGAAAAGCCCGCUCGCCGGAAGACCAAGGGUUCCUGUCCAACGUUAAUCGGGGCAGGGUGAGUCGACCCCUAAGGCGAGGCCGAAAGGCGUAGUCGAUGGGAAACAGGUUAAUAUUCCUGUACUUGGUGUUACUGCGAAGGGGGGACGGAGAA
rnacentral:rRNA from 1 species